rnacentral:rRNA from 1 species
CCUACGGGAGGCAGCAGUGGGGAAUAUUGCACAAUGGGCGAAAGCCUGAUGCAGCGACGCCGCGUGAACGAUGAAGUAUUUCGGUAUGUAAAGUUCUAUCAGCAAGGAAGAAAAUGACGGUACUUGACUAAGAAGCCCCGGCUAACUACGUGCCAGCAGCCGCGGUAAUA